GAUGAACGCUGGCGGUAUGCUUAACACAUGCCAGUCGAACGGACUCUUCGGAGUUAGUGGCGGACGGGUGAGUAACGCGUGAGAAUCUGGCUUUGGGUUCGGGACAACCACUGGAAACGGUGGCUAAUACCGGAUGUGCCGAGAGGUAAAAGAGAAAUUGCCUGAAGAUGAGCUCGCGUCUGAUUAGCUAGUUGGUGAGGUAAAGGCUCACCAAGGCAGCGAUCAGUAGCUGGUCUGAGAGGGUGACCAGCCACACUGGGACUGAGACACGGCCCAGACUCCUACGGGAGGCAGCAGUGGGGAAUUUUCCGCAAUGGGCGAAAGCCUGACGGAGCAAUACCGCGUGAGGGAAGAAGGCUCUUGGGUUGUAAACCUCUUUUCUUAGGGAAGAACAAAAUGACGGUACCUAAGGAAUCAGCAUCGGCUAACUCCGUG
rnacentral:rRNA from 1 species